AGAACGAACGCUGGCGGCAGGCUUAACACAUGCAAGUCGAACGCUCGUAGCAAUACGGGAGUGGCAGACGGGUGAGUAACGCGUGGGAACAUACCCUCCGGUUCGGAAUAGCUCAGGGAAACUUGGAUUAAUACCGGAUACGGCUGAGAGGCGAAAGAUUUAUCGCCGGAGGAUUGGCCCGCGUUCGAUUAGCUUGUUGGUGAGGUAACGGCUCACCAAGGCGAUGAUCGAUAGCUGGUCUGAGAGGAUGAUCAGCCACAUUGGGACUGAGACACGGCCCAAACUCCUACGGGAGGCAGCAGUGGGGAAUAUUGGACAAUGGGCGCAAGCCUGAUCCAGCCAUGCCGCGUGAGUGAUGACGGCCUUAGGGUUGUAAAGCUCUUUCGCUCGGGACGAUAAUGACGGUACCAAGAUAAGAAGCCCCGGCUAACUUCGCGCCAGCAGCCGC
rnacentral:rRNA from 1 species